AACCCUUGUCCUUAGUUGCCAGCAUUCAGUUGGGCACUCUAAGGAGACUGCCGGUGUCAAACCGGAGGAAGGUGGGGAUGACGUCAAGUCCUCAUGGCCCUUAUGUCCAGGGCUACACACGUGCUACAAUGGCCGGUACAAAGGGGCGCAAGACCGCGAGGUGGAGCAAAUCCCAAAAAACCGGUCUCAGUUCGGAUUGGAGUCUGCAACUCGACUCCAUGAAGUUGGAAUCGCUAGUAAUCGCGUAUCAGCAUGACGCGGUGAAUACGUUCCCGGGCCUU
rnacentral:rRNA from 1 species